CUAAGUGAGCUACUUUAAAGCAGCUAUUAGAGCUAACCCGUCUCUGUCGCAAAAGAGUGGGGUGACUUUAAAGUAGAGGUGAUAGACCUACCGAACUUAGAGAUAGCUGGUUUUUUAAGAAAAGAAUUUUAGUUCAGCCCCAAGCCUUUCGUUAAGCAAAAAACCUUCUUAGGCCUGGGAGUCAUUCAUAUAGGGCACAGCCUAUUUGAAACAGGAUACAACCUAGAAUAUAGGGUAAAACAAUGUGAUUUUUCUAUAAGUGGGCUUGAAAGCAGCCACCUUUCAAAAAGCGUUGUAGCUUAUUGAUACUGAUUAUUUAAUAACCUCAAAAAUGUUUAACCCAUACACACUAUUAAACUAUCCCAUAAAUUUAUGGGAGCUAUCAUGCUAGAACAAGUAACAAGAAAAAGAUUUUUCUCCAAAAUACAAGCUUUAGCCGCUACAGACAAACUACCGGCAAUUAACGCCUUUU
rnacentral:rRNA from 1 species